GGGGUGGCACUGUCCUUCAGCCCCAGACAGGGCAGGGGUGGCACUGUCCUUCAGCCCCAGACAGGGAAGGGGUGGCACUGUCCUUCAGCCCCAGACAGGGCAGGGGUGGCACUGUACUUCAGCCCCAGACAGGGCAGGGGUGGCACUGUCCUUCAGCCCCAGACAGGGCAGGGGUGGCACUGUACUUCAGCCCCAGACAGGGCAGGGGUGGGACCGUACUUCAGCCCCAGUAUGAUCCCAUGACAGUUGGUUUGCGGACGCUGGACACAACGCAAACAUUGAAGGAUGUGGCCAAAUGCAGCGGGGUUGGGGGGAUAGGGAAUACCUCGGGCACAGACCAGUGUCCCUGGGCCCAGGACAAGGCCAGAGGCACCCAGUGAGCCCCAGGCCUCUCACUCUCAGCCUGCCCUUCAGAAACACUUUCAUGAAAAAUACAGUGCAUCCUAUUGGUCAUUUUCACUUAUCUUGGGGUGGAAACAUCUGUCAAAGGUGAAAGGACAGAAGAGUGGGACUUCUUUUUCCAACUAUGUCUAGAAAAAUACAGGCUGGUCCAGUAGCUCCCUGCUUCCUGUCACUGAAACCGGCAGGCACAAAACAGGACAGUACAGGCAGAGAGCAGGGAACAGAAACAGGCUUGUGACAUCACAGGGUUUCUGCUGUGAAGGCUGCAGGCCAGGAACUCAGAAGAGGAAACUCUCAGAGCUCAUAAGUGUUUCUAAACACCAUAUUCUGACCCAUUUCCACAGAAACAAAAGCUACAAAGAGAACUGUCCUGCACAACUGCUUUCACUAAAUCAGGAACCCGGGACAGAGUACUGGUCUGUUGCCCAGGCUGGAGUGCAGUGGUGCAAUCAUGGCUCACUGCAGCCUCAACCUCCUGAGCUCAGGUAAGCCUCCUGCCUCAGCCUCCUAAAAUGUUAUAGAUUACAGGUGUUAGCCACCACACCCAGACCCUUGAAUCCCUUCACUUAUCUGAGGAGGAAACAGAAGCACAGACCAAUGUGACCUGCUAGGAAGUGGCCGAGCUGUCUGCCUGCACACGGGGCUCCCACCCAGAACUGGCCACAGGGACAGGGACACUCAGGGAGCCCCCCAAGAGCUGGCCCCAGGGACACUCACGGCCACGCCUGCGGCCCCCCAUACCAUGGCCCUUCAUGGCGUCUACUUCCUCCUGAGCAUUUCAGCUGACUCCACUCUGUCCUCACCCCCCUUUUUGUGUCUCACGGUCCUUGCUUAAGUCCAAGUCACGCCCUCUCACUGUCUCUUACACACAUCUCUAUCGCUACAUGUGAGGUCUCUUAACUACUUUCUGGAAUACAGAACAUAAAUAAAAACAAAACUAAUGCUUCCUCUGCUUGCGGGACCUAGGAAUAAAACAGAUAAAAACAAUGAACAUUAAAUUUUUUUUUAAAAAAAAGGAAAACUUCCUUUCAUUUAAAAAGUGCACUGAGCUUUUCUCCUGGGUGUGUCAAGCGCCAAAGUCUGAGGACAGAAACGGACAGAGGCCAGGCGGCGGGGGCGCGAG
rnacentral:lncRNA from 1 species